AACCUUCUCAGGCUGGCGGCAGCCCCUCAGGCCCAGCUGGGCGAGCAUCUUUUCGAACAUCUCACCCUCAAGCACUAGAAAAACC
rnacentral:pre_miRNA from 1 species